ensembl:ncRNA K11C4.14 ncRNA
AGAAUUUUUAUGAGAAAAUUCGCUUGUCCUUCCUUCGAUUGCCAGCUUAGUCUUUAUUUGUGAGAAAUUAUUUGGAUUUCUCUUGGAUUUUA